UAUCAACACCAACUGACAACAAAUUUAAAAUUUCGACACUGAGAUGUUCACGAUGUCCUCCCUUCCAUUUUUCUCAGAUAAUUUUGGCUUUUUAUUGAAAAAAAAUAAUAAAAUUUGUUGCAAUACAACAAAAAAUGAUUAGAACCGUUUCACCUACAUUAUAACCUGAAUAGUAGAAAUGUAAAGAGUCGCUACAUACCAUUUCGUGUUGGUGGAGAAAUCGAGAAUUAGAGACAAGCCAAACUACUGAAAAUUUUACUCAUCUAAAA